CGCAAUGGGCGAAAGCCUGACGGAGCAAUGCCGCGUGAGUGAUGAAGGUUUUCGGAUCGUAAAGCUCUGUUGCCAGGGAAGAACGCUUGGGAGAGUAACUGCUCUCAAGGUGACGGUACCUGAGAAGAAAGCCCCGGCUAACUACGUGCCAGCAG
rnacentral:rRNA from 1 species